GACAGAGGGUGCAAACGUUGUUCGGAAUUACUGGGCGUAAAGCGUGUGUAGGCGGCUUCGCAAGUCAGAUGUGAAAGCCCCGGGCUCAACCCGGGAAGUGCACUCGAUACUGCGGAGCUAGAGUGUCGGAGAGGUUGGUGGAAUUCUCGGUGUAGAGGUGAAAUUCGUAGAUAUCGAGAGGAACACCGGUGGCGAAGGCGGCCAACUGGACGAACACUGACGCUGAGACACGAAAGCGUGGGGAGCAAACAGG
rnacentral:rRNA from 1 species